UUGGUACGCCAAUGGUGAUCUACCAUUUUCUCUCGAUGGAAUUCUCACACUCCCCAACUCGCCCUCAAGCUACAGCAGCCACUCUGACAUUUGAAUAGGGCUUGACGGCUUAUGUUGGCAAGUCUCUCUUUCUCCCUCUCUCCAUUUCCCACCGCCCUCUCCCUCUACCGAAACUUGGCCCUCUCUCUCUAUCCUGAUGUCUCAUGAUGACAACUCUCUCUAUCUCUUCCUCUCUCUCGCUCCUGCUGUCUCUCCCAAAUCAUGUUGGCAACUCUCUCUCUUCUCAAUCUCUGACUGCUGCCCCUCUCUCUCCACCCAAACUCCAUCUUCUCCCCUCUCUCUCUCCACCCAAACUCCAUCUUCUCCCCUCUCUCUCUCCACCAAACUAUCUCGCGCUCUCUAAAUCUCUAACGCUGCUGCUCCAUUGCUGCUGCAAACCUCUCUCAGACUAUUGGGGCAACCAAACCAUCUCACCCCUCACUCAAUCUCCCUCUCUCAAUCUCUCUCGUUCCUGCCCCAUUGUUGCUGCAAAAUUGCUACUGCUCCAUUGCUCGAUUGGGGCAAUCUUCGAGAUUUAAGGUGCAUCCAAGGUUUGCUACUGCAAAAUUGAUGCUGCUCCAUUGCUUGAUUAGCGCAAUCUUCGGGAUUUGAGGUGCAUCCAAGUUUUGCUGCUGCUCCAUUGCUUAAUUGGGGCAAAUUUCGGGAUUUGAAGUGCAUCCAAAGUUUGCUGCUGCUCCAUUGCUGGAUUGGGGCAAUCUUCGGGAUUUGAAGUGCAUCUAAGGUUCAGGGUCAGUUGAAAGAUUUUUAUGGACCCCACCAUAUCAGUCGGUGUGACAUCUUCCCGGUGCCCAACUGUAGACAGCACGAAUGAUACCAUGGAGCUGGAGCAGGUUCCUUAUCUUACAGAAAUGAGAGACGGGGAACAUGGCUCAUCAACUAAGGGCCUACAAAUAGAAGAACCAUAUAUAGGGAUAAAGUUUGGUUCUGAGAAUGAAGCAUAUGAGUAUUAUAAGGAGUAUGCAUUAGCCAAAGGUUUUGGCAUCCGUAAGGGGACAACCCACAAUAAAGAUGGUCAAAGGCUCAAUUGUUCUAAGGAAUGAUUUCAUCGAGAGAAAGAUUGGGUAGGUAAAAAGGUACACCAUGAAUCAAGGUGUGGUUGUAUAGCUAAGAUGGGCCUAAGUAGAAAUGCAAAUAACGAGUGGGUUGCGACUAGGAUUGCUAAAAAACACAGUCACUAUCUUUUGUCUCUAAGAAAAGAUCGUGUAAUUCGCUCACAUCCAAAAAUGUCAGGCGCUGCAAAGUUGAUGAUAGGUUCAAUGAGCUCGGCAUUGGUGAAGGCCACAAAUAUUCAUGGCAUUUUCAUAGAGCAAUCUGGAGGGAUUGAUAAUGUUUAUUGUACAGAAAAAGACAUCCAAAAUGUAAUCGCUAACUUUAGAAGAAAACUAAGAGGAGAAGAUGGAAGUCUUGUUAUGCAAUGGCUUUAUAAAAUGAAGGAAUUGAACCCAUCUUUUUUUUAUAGAAUGAAAUUAGAUGAAGCCAAUCACAUCUUGAGCGUCUUAUGGGUAGACGCAUUUUCUAGAGUUUCAUACCAGUGCUUCUCUGAUGUGGUAACUUUUGAUACGACAUACAAAACAAACACAUAUGGUAUGCCAUUUGCACCCAUUCUUGGUGUAAAUCACCAUCACAGUACCACUCUCCUCGGAUUUGCGCUCAUUUUUUAUGAGAAGGUUGAAUCAUUUGUAUGGAUAUUUGAAAAUUGGUUAGAAGCUAUGGGGAGACGUCAACCUGGAGUUAUUCUCACUAAUUAAGACUCUGCAAUUUCGAAUGUAGUCAAACGAGUUUUAGAUCAAAGUAAGCAUCAUUAUUGUAAGUGGUGUAUACUAUCAAAGAUUAAUGAAAAAAUGUGUCAUGUCUUGCGUAGGCAUCUAAAUUUUUCAGAAACCUUCAGGAGGCGUGUGGCUAGUGCAACAGUGGAAGAAUUUGAAUUGGGGUGGAAAGAUAUGAUUGAGAAUUAUGGGCUGGAAAGUAAUGAGUGGCGUACUAGACUCUAUAGUUGUCACAUGCAAGGGGUUGAUACGUAUUUGAGUGACGACUUCCACUCAAAGGAGUGAAGGGAUGAAUAAGAACUUCAAAGGUGACUGUAAAGGUGCAAGGUAAGAAGUGACUGUAAAGGUGCAAGAUAAGAAGGUGCGAAAGGACAAGGAAAAUGACUUAAGAGACAUUAAUACUACUCCAAUAUUAAGAACAACUUCUUUUAUUGAGGCCCAGGUAGCAAAGAUCUAUACUUAAAAGAUUAUGAAGCUAUUUGGGGAAGAGGUGGUGAAUUGUAUUAAUUUCAUGAGCGAGUCAAUUGAGGACAGUGGAUUGCUUGCCACUUUUAAGGUAUCAAUACUAAGAAGUGAUUCCAAACCCUACCUGUGGAAUUCAAUUCCAAUGACAAGAGCGUUUGUUGCAGUUGUCAUUUAUAUGAGAGGAUGGGUCUUCUUUGUAGGCAUGUGUUGAAGGUUUUUGUAGUGAAGAAUGUAUUCGAAAUACCCCCAUAAUAUAUAAUGAGGCAUUGGACAAAAGAUAUAACAAAUGGGGUUUUUAUCAAUGAGAGUGGCAAUCAAAUUCAAGAAGCAUCUCGACUACAACGCUCCAUUCGAUAUAAUUAGGUAUAUCAGGCAACUCGAUACCUCGCCGAGCAUGCUUCAGAGAGUGCAGAGCUCCAUUAAUUUAUAAUGGCCAUAAUACACGAUAGAAUUUGUCAGGUUGAUAGCCAAUUCAAGCAUAAGGGAGGUCAGCAGAAUGACGCCACAAUCAAUUGUAAUGCUGAAGAGAAUGGUAAUGUUGAAGCAAAUGCUAAUAUUGAUGAGAAUGCAGCUAGUUGUAGUGACACACCAAGUGCAAGUGACUAUUGCCAAAAUAUUCUUGAGCCUUCAUGUGCACGGACAAAGGGAAGACCUACCGAUAAAAGAAAGAAAGCUUGAUUAGAAGGGUGGAAGCCGAAGGAAAAUACUAAGAAGCCGAAGGAAAAUACCAAAAAGCCAAACGAAAAUACUAGAAAGUGUGCAGUUUGAAAGGGCAUUGGGCACGACAAAAGAAAUUGUUUGUCAUUCAUUCGUGCAAAGCAUACCAUUAGUAUCUCUUGCAUUUUGAUUAUACAAGCUUCUUAAUUCUGGUUGUAGUAGAGCUUACUUAUAAUUGUCGAACUUUUAAAUGUAAUAUAAAAUGCUAACAGUGCAAAUUGUCUUCCAUCUUCAGGGCUGCUGACAAAAUGUGCCGUAUGGAACGGUCUGUUAGGAAUGCUGAAGAAAACCAUUGGUCAUAAGGAGCACCAUGAAUUGUAGUGAUUGCUUGCUUUAUUUUUGAAGCACCUGUAAAUUGUUUGCUUGUUUGUAGUGAUUGCUUGCGUACAAAACUGGGUUCUUUUCCUGUCUUGUAUGGCUACCUUUUAUUGAUAAACCCUUUAAUUUUUAAAGCACCUGUAAAUUGUUUGCUUGUUGUAGUGAUUGCUUGCUUGUUAUAUAGUGAUUGAUUGUAGGGAUUGGUUUUGAUGUUGUGAAUAUUGCUAAACAAGAUGGUCAUAUCGGAGUGGGUAAUUUUGAACUUGGUCUUGGAUACAUGCCAUUGGAUAGCAUCUGGAUACAACCCAGGUUUGGUGUUCCCACUGUUUGGACUAGUAAUCACACUGUUUGGAUAUCCUGUCUUGUAUGCUACCUUCUAUGGUCCAGACUAUCAUACUUUGUCCAUCUACACCCUUUAAUUUUCCUGUCUUGUAUAGCUACCUUUUAUUGGAUACAACCCAGGUUUAAUGUUUGAAUUUGUCAAUGAUUGCUUGUUAUUGAUUGCACAAUUUAUAGAACAUGAAUAUGAUUGUUGAAAUACAAUGUGGCUUUGUGAAUUAGGUUGGGUGCAACAAAGUUAUCUAAAAUUGGUGGAAAGCAACAAGCUGAUCUUCGUUGAUGCAUACAACAAGAGCAGAUGGUUCUCAACCAUCUCAGGGAACACUAGGGAGAAACUUGUUAUUGCGAAUUCAAGAUUUCUAUUUUAGCUUUUUCAAUUUGCUAUUGCAGACUCAAGAUGUCUAUUUUGGUUAUUUGAAUUUGCUGUUGCAGACUCAAGAUGUCUAUUGUGGCUUUUUAAAUUUGCUGCUAUGGACUCAAGAUGUUUAUUUUGCCUUUUUUUGUUGUAUGCGCUUUAGAAAAGAACAUUAUAGAAUAUAUGUUCAUUGUGUGGGUA